CUGGUUCAGGAUGAACGCUAGCGACAGACCUAACACAUGCAAGUCGAGGGCAGCACAAGGAGCAAUCUGAGGUGGCGACCGGCGCACGGGUGAGUAACACGUAUGCAACCUGCCUGUAAGCGGGGAAUAACCCGUUGAAAGACGGACUAAUACCGCAUAAUACUAAAUUACUGCAUGGUAAUUUAUUUAAACAUUUAUGGCUUACAGAUGGGCAUGCGCGUGAUUAGCUAGUUGGAGAGGUGACGGCUCCCCAAGGCAACGAUCAUUAGGGGUUCUGAGAGGAAGGUCCCCCACACUGGUACUGAGACACGGACCAGACUCCUACGGGAGGCAGCAGUGAGGAAUAUUGGUCAAUGGACGAGAGUCUGAACCAGCCAAGUCGCGUGCAGGAAGAAUGUCCCUAUGGAUUGUAAACUGCUUUUGCAGGGGAAUAAAGUGCAUCACGUGUGAUGUUUUGUAUGUACUCUGCGAAUAAGGAUCGGCUAACUCCGUGCCAGCCGCUGC
rnacentral:rRNA from 1 species